rnacentral:pre_miRNA from 1 species
UUUGUACUCCCUCCGUCCCAAAAUUCUUGUCUUAAAUUUGUCUAAAUACGGAUGUAUCUAGUUACAUUUUAGUGUUAGAUACAUCUGUAUCUAAACAAAUGUAAGACAAGAAUUUUGGGAUGGAGGGAAUACUAC